CGCUCUUUGUAAAGAAUCUUAAGAAUAAGGAGUCCUGCCUGCCCGGUGACUAUUUUAGUUAAACGGCCGCGGUAUCUUGACCGUGCGAAGGUAGCAUAAUCAUUUGCCUUUUAAAUUGGGGCUGGAAUGAAUGGCAAGACGGGAAUUAAGCUGUCUCUCUCUUAUAAUUUGAAAUUAAUGUUUUUGUGAAGAAGCAGAAAUAUGGUCGUAGGACGAGAAGACCCUAUCGAGCUUUAAUAUAGGAAAAUGUAAUAUAUUUGUUAUUGUUUUAUGCUAAUUAGAAAUUAAUAAUUUCUUUUAUAAUUACUGUAAGUACAAUAAUGUUGUGCAUAUUUUAUUUGGAUUGGGGCAAUCACGGAGAAUAAUUACCCUCCGUUAUUUUUUUAAAAAAAAAUCUUUUUAUAUUUGAGAGUUUCAAUUGAAGUGAUCCACUAGAAUAGGUGAAAAGAAGAAUAAGUUACCGUAGGGAUAACAGCGUAAUUUUUUUGGAGAGUUCAUAUUGAUAAAAAAGUUUGCGACCUCGAUGUUGGAUCGGGAUUUCCUGGGGAUGCAGCAGUUCCUAAUGGUUGGUCUGUUCGACCAUUAAAAUCCU
rnacentral:rRNA from 1 species